GCCAUGCUCUGGAACCACUUGCUUUUGUGUUUCUUCCUAGUUGUGGAUAUCUACCCAAGAACUACAGGUUUCAAAUCCUGUAAGGAACGGUCGAGACUGUGUGAACCAGGCACCAGACCCAACUGCCUCGUAAAAAACAACAAAAUGCAAUAUUUUGAAUGUUCCAAUAAAGAGCGUAACUGUAAAGAUUCCUGGACCAGGGAAUGCAGAAAAUCAACUAGCAUUUCUUGUACUACUGCUGAGACCUACUGUGAUUGUGUUUGUUAUACACGUUCUUUGACUAAACCGAAGCCUAAAAGAACGUGACGCUCGAGUACAAAACGCUAGGAUGUCAAGGAAGCAUCACACAGAUUCCUCGUCCUUCUCUUUGCCCUGACCCUGCAUGAUAUGCCUUAUUUUUCAGCUACCACAUUUUAGUAAGCAAUAAACGUGUGUUUUACUUCUA